rnacentral:lncRNA from 1 species
CAAGCCUGCACCCAGGGUGGGUCGACUGAAACAAAGGGGACCAGAAGGUGGGCGCCCAGGAGCAGGUGCCGUGGGGACACCGGCCCACCAGCGCCCUGGAUCCUGAGGGGCGAGGAAUCCAGCCCGGAGCCCGCAGCCGCGCGAGGCCGAGGCCCGGGCUGAUGAGCGAGAGCCGGGGCGCCCCAGGGUCCCCUCCUGCCUCGGGCCGCCCGCGCGGCAAGGAGUGUGUCUGGGUGCAGGAGGAGGCCGAGCCCGCUGGACUGUCCUCGGGAGAGUCCGGCCCACAGGGGGCUCGGCUCGCCCCCAAGUCCGGGGCCGCGUCUGCUCAGAGGCCGGAGGCGCCCGCCGCCUCGCCGCGGCAGCCGCGGGACAAGCGCGGGCUCCUGGACUGGACACAGUUUCCCGCCUCCCUGUGGCUGUUUCCCGACCUGUUGGAGCACAGGCUCCAGUUUUAGAGGCUGUGGAGGACUGGGGCAGGGCACGGCUCCGACUUCAGGGUCUGACAGCUGUGCUUUCUCCAAACACUCAUCCAGGGAGCUGGGGGCCAGGUGGCCUUUGUCGGUUCUCCUCUUUCCUCCUGAAGUCAGGGCCUGGACCGGCUGCCCUGCUCAACCUCAGGAACCUCCUUUUUACUUUUAUUUUAUGAUUAGUUGCCUUUGGUCUCCUCAUUCCUCCAUGGGGUGCACUGAGGCCCCUGCAUUUGCUCACGCCUUCCUGUAUCCAUACUCUUGGGGAACCCUCCCACCCUGAGCCUGGGCUUGGACUGGUGACUUCUUUUGGCCGAUGGGACAUAGGAAAGGCGAUGCAAAAGGAAACUCGAAAAUUUCUUGCUGCUCCUGGAAACCUGCCUCCAUAUAAGCAAACCCUGGCUAUUCUGACAGACGACAUGGCCCAGCACCCCCAAAGACUGAGCUGAGAUCCCAGCUGAGAGAGAGGCCAUCUGGGAUCCUCCAGCCCAUCUCCCAGCGCACCUGCCACUUGGCCCCAGACAAAUUGCUGCUGGCAGAGGGGACCUUAAUGCCACCUAGACCCACUCCCAUUGCACGGGAAUGCUUUCAGAGGAGUCAAGCCUUGCAGCCUCUUCCUUGACAUUCAAACCAGAGCAGAGCCUGACAGGAAUCACUCACAUCUGGUCCACAUGGCAUCAGCUGAGAUGGCUCCAAUCAAGACUGGACAAUCCACUUUCAAUACAGAUCACCCACAUGGCUGGCAGGUUACUGCUGGCUGCUGGCUGGCUGCUCAGCUGGUCUGGGGCCUGGGCGUGAGGGGCCUUGCUUCCUCUCCGGUGGGCUUCUCCUCAGCUGCUUGGGUUUCCUCACUGGAGGAUGGCUGAGGUCCCAGAGCAAAUGUCCCAAGAGAUCCAGACAAAAGGGGGUGGUGCUUUUAUGCUCUAUCCUUGGAAUCACAUAGCAUACAAUUCCAUUGCACCUUGUUAGUUGAGGGGGUCACAAAGUUCCACCCAGGUUAAAAGGAAGGGGACAUAGAUUGCACCCAUGGGGUAGUGGCACGGUCAUGUUGUAAGAUGAGCAUGUGGGAUGAGAGAGGUUCUUAUAUUCUAAAGUCAGUAUUUACCUCUUUCAUUAACAAAGACCUUGAAACACAUUGUCUUCCACAUGUCCCCUAUGCUCUUUGUAUAUAUUUAGUUGAAUGCUUUUAUUUUGCUUGGUUUUACCCCAUAAAUUAGACAUUUUGAUUUCUAUAAUGUUUGAACCAACGAAUACAUCUCUAAAGAAUAUAGCUUACUUUUGCUUGUUUUUGAACUUUUUACAAAUGGAAUCACAUGUUAGGAAUGAUUUUUGUUCACGCCUCUUUUGCUCAAAGUGUAAGUGUCUAAGACUUAUGCAUGUCACUGCAUGUAGCUGUGCCUUGUUCGUUUUCAUUGUUGCCUGGCUCUCUGUGCUAUAACAGAUGACAGUUUACCAGCUGCGCUGUAGAUGGACUCUGGGCCAUUUCCAGGUUUGUUGAUUAGAAUUCACAUAUCCUAGUGCAAAUGUGCAUGAGUUUCUUUGAUGUGUACCCCCAAGAGGGAUAUUGCAGAUGCUUCUAUUACUACAUAAUACCAAACUGUACCAAUUUCUACUCCCACUGGCUAGUAUGAGAAUUCCUGUUCCAAAGCCCUGUUGCUAUAAUCUGAUUUUGCCAGAUUUUUUUCUUGUUUAUGGUAAGUUUGUAAUGGAAAACACUACCUUUAAUCUUACCUUAAUCUCUGCUGACUGCAUGCUAUCUUCCCAAAGAACCAGUGUUAUCUCCUCCUGAUGCAUAGCUCAUAGCUGCCUGACUUGGUUGUACAGAAGUGUUCUGCUGAGGAUAUGGCAGAGCAGAGAGAGAACAUGCCUGUAUUAGCAAAACUCUGCAUCCUUCCAUUUCUGCUUGCAGGCUGGCUAGAUUUAGCUAGAGUUCCUGUCUCUUAUAGGACUUAGAGCAGUCAAAAAAAAAUUGUCUACAUAAGCCAUCAUUCUGGAUCUUUCCUACCAUUUCCUUAAUGCCACAGAUUUUGUCAAAUUGUGGUCUACCCUCCAAAGUAAUGCAAGCCUCGAAACCUAACCGAAGAUUUUACCACCAUGUAAUGUGAGGCGCCAGCUUUUCAACCUGGGCCCAGCUGAAAUUCAGGGGAUCUAUUACUAUGGAAAAAGGGAAGAUGGACAUCGGUGGACCACUAACAAUCUUGGCCACAGCUUCCUUCUGGCA